rnacentral:rRNA from 1 species
GUGCCAGCAGCCGCGGUAAUACGUAGGGUGCGAGCGUUGUCCGGAAUUAUUGGGCGUAAAGGGCUCGUAGGCGGUUUGUCGCGUCGGGAGUGAAAACACUGGGCUUAACCGAGUGCUUGCUUCCGAUACGGGCAGACUUGAGGCAUUGAGGGGAGAACGGAAUUCCUGGUGUAGCGGUGAAAUGCGCAGAUAUCAGGAGGAACACCGGUGGCGAAGGCGGUUCUCUGGCAAUGUUCUGACGCUGAGGAGCGAAAGUGUGGGGAGCGAACAGGAUUAGAUACCCUGGUAGUCC